rnacentral:rRNA from 1 species
AACGAACGCUGGCGGCAGGCCUAACACAUGCAAGUCGAGCGAGACCUUCGGGUCUAGCGGCGGACGGGUUAGUAACGCGUGGGAACGUGCCCUUCUCUGCGGAAUAGCCACUGGAAACGGUGAGUAAUACCGCAUACGCCCUUCGGGGGAAAGAUUUAUCGGAGAAGGAUCGGCCCGCGUUAGAUUAGAUAGUUGGUGGGGUAACGGCCUACCAAGUCUACGAUCUAUAGCUGGUUUUAGAGGAUGAUCAGCAACACUGGGACUGAGACACGGCCCAGACUCCUACGGGAGGCAGCAGUGGGGAAUCUUAGACAAUGGGCGCAAGCCUGAUCUAGCCAUGCCGCGUGUGUGAUGAAGGUCUUAGGGUCGUAAAGCUCUUUCGCCAGAGAUGAUAAUGACAGUAUCUGGUAAAGAAGUCCCGGCUAACUCCGUG